ensembl:lncRNA
GCCAUUAACCUGUUUAUGUUCUCCGUUUCAGUCCCACCUGACUAGACUUGCUCUCCUGUGCCAUUGACUUCACUGUGGUGGGGGGGGGUGGCGGCGGGUUUCUAUGUCACAAUCUCUAGCUGGAGUGCCCGUGAGCUUCAUUAGAGGGCACACCAUUCCAGACUCUUGCCACUUCAAACUGGACUCCAUUUCAUCCACACACACUUUGCACACAUCCACACACUUUGCUAAUUGUUAAGCCUCUACCCUGUUCCCUGUAUCCAUGUUUCUUUGCUUUGCCUUGCCUCCUUGUUUUUGACCUUGGACUGUUUAUCUGGUUUUUGAUUGUUUUGCUGCCUGCCCUGACCUUUGCCUGUUUUGGAUUCCUCUUUGCCAGGGACACUAUUGUUUGCUGGUACUGGACUCUGCCUGUUUGACCACUCUCUAUAAUAAAGCCUGCAUUUGGAUCCUCAACACUGUCACAACGCCUCCAUUGUAACACUAUGGCCUAUGUUUGUUAACAUAAGCCACAUCUUGCAGUCAUGUAACUUGAAAAGGUUACAGCACAUAACUUAUUCUGUGUCCUAGAUUUACUUAGGUGUAAUAGUUAUUUUUAGAACCAUAACUGUGGACACAUGACAUGGAUGGUAACAUGUUGUGGAAACUACAGCGUGUUUUUCUGAUCUGCCGGACUGUGUGCUUAGACUUCUUUUUGUGAGGGCAUUACCCAGCCGCUCAAAUUGCGACUAAUCCGUGAAGGUUCCCACACAUCUCUCAGUCAGUUUAUGGACUAUGCUUUGUUGUGUUGGCUCUUCAUUCACUGUAGGUGUUGCGGAGGUGGAACGCGACACUGCACUCACUCAUGGUAUGGCCGCCAGCCCAGCACCUCUGCACAAGAUGGCCGCCAGCCCAGCGCCUCUGCACAAGAUGGCCACCAAUGCGGCGUUACUGCACGAAAUGGCAGCCACCGUUGAGCUGCAAGGUCAAGUCACUACAGAGCUUCAUCAUACCACAACUGAUCUGCCUGAGCCUCGUCACGUCUCAGCUGAUCAUCCAGAGCCUUGCCUCAUCCUGUCUGUUGCACCCAGAUAUUUAAGGUCACCGUAGCCACCAGAUCCAGUCUGUAUCCAGAUCACAUGGUGGAUCAGCACCUAGACAAACUCUUGACAGCCCUGGAUGUCAGCGGAGACCAGGACAACUAUGAGCCCCAGAGACAGAUCCUCUUCACCAAGACAGCCAUCGGGACAAGACCACAGGAACCAGACCAGUCCUCUGCACAAUCUGAUCUGUGUUGAAGCCUGCAAUUAAACUGCUGGGUUCGUCUGUUCAGAGAAGAACGAUGGAGUUUUGGUUCCUUCGACACACAAUUUUUCUGUUUAAUACUGUAAAGCUGUAGUGUAAAUACAGUGACUGAACUUGACUCCAGUUGAAAUGUAACACCUGGUUCAUUUAUUUUUUUCUGCCUUCUGCCUCAUUUUAAAGAUGUAAUUGUGAACAGUAUUAAUAUUUUUUUAAAUAUUUGUUUGCAAACAUUUUUUUUAAGUGUAUUAGUCUUUUUUUAAGUUAAUUAAAUGUUUAAAAUAAAAUUUUUCAGUUGUAUUGCA